rnacentral:rRNA from 1 species
AGUGAACGCUGGCGGUAGGCCUAACACAUGCAAGUCGAACGGCAGCACAGUAAGAGCUUGCUCUUACGGGUGGCGAGUGGCGGACGGGUGAGGAAUACAUCGGAAUCUACUUUUUCGUGGGGGAUAAGGUAGGGAAACUUACGCUAAUACCGCAUACGACCUACGGGGGAAAGAAGGGGAUCUUCGGACCUUGCGCGAUUGAAUGAGCCGAUGUCGGAUUAGCUAGUUGGCGGGGUAAAGGCCCACCAAGGCGACGAUCCGUAGCUGGUCUGAGAGGAUGAUCAGCCACACUGGAACUGAGACACGGUCCAGACUCCUACGGGAGGCAGCAGUGGGGAAUAUUGGACAAUGGGCGCAAGCCUGAUCCAGCCAUACCGCGUGGGUGAAGAAGGCCUUCGGGUUGUAAAGCCCUUUUGUUGGGAAAGAAAAGCAGCAGGUUAAUACCCCGCUGUUCUGACGGUACCCAAAGAAUAAGCACCGGCUAACUUCGUG